GGCUCGGGACGCGAGGGGGAGGGGUGGGGAAGGAGGCUGCUGGAGCGGGUCCUGGCCAUUCCCAGACGGGUCGAGGCUGAUGAGGACUCCCAGGCGCUGGGGGCGGCACAGAGGGGCCGUGGCCCCUAUGGAAAUCAGAGAAGGCUAGGACCCCAAAGCGUGGCCAGGCCCAUCGUGAGGAUAGGCGUUGUUCCGCGGAAGGUGCAAGCCAUCAGCGGCUCCAGAAUUUCUAAAACGGAAGGACUUGCGGGUGUGGAGCACAUGGAGGAGCUUCCCAGCAGACGUCUAUCUGGAUUGCCUGGAUCCUGAACCCAACAGAGAGCUGGGCACGGAGUGAGCUGCUUCUCCUUGGCAGACUCCUUGCGAGCUGAAAAAAGCAGCAGAUGUCAGAGACAUGCCAAAGCAGUGCACCAAAUUGAGCCUCCCCGCUGCUUCCCAGCACACCUUCAGCCUUCUCUUUAAGGUGCUGGUGCUGAUCCAGGAGGCUGACGUUGGACUGUGGGCCCAGAGGGAUGUCGUCCUCAUCUCCCCGGGGCUCGCUGCCGCUGUCCUGCAGCUCCUCCUCCGCAGCUCCUUUGCGCCUUCGUUGCAAUAGCUUCUGGAGCUGAGGUUCCACCAGCGCCCCUCAGAGCCAAGCCCAAGACAAAGCGGAGUAUCGGGCCCAGGGGGCUUGCGUCAGAAUCUUGGCUUUUGGGAGAGGGUCCUGUGCCACGCGACAUGGAGGUGCCCUACCCCUCAGAUCAGACUGGCAGUCCCUGGUUUGCCUAGGGGCCACGGUCCCAACUACUGACAGCUCACUCCACUGGAUGCCACCCUCCCUCCCACACCCUCAUUUCUCUUCUGACCCGAGGCCCUCACCAACAGUUGCCGCCGCUGUCGCAAAGGCACGUAAGGCACGUAGUCUUCGUCGUCCUCAUCCUCCGCCUCGGAGCGGCUUCCUGUGGCAGUCGCUUCAUCUGUGCGAACACGCUACAGAUACAGAUGAAUCAGGCCCAGGCCCCCGCUUUCACAGCUGCUCGCCACCCGCACCGACCCCUACCUCGCUCCCACCUUCCGUUCAGGUUCCGAGUCCUCCAUCCUUUGCUGUACGCAGGCGCGCUACGGUAAAACCCCGCCUCAAUUUUUGCGUGAGAUCCAAUCAGAUGUGAAGAAGCGGAAGGUCGGCACCUAGCAACGACCUCUGAGUGCCGGAUCGCGCAGAGGGACAAACUUUCCCGAAACCCUGUCAGGCAGUGCAGCGUCAAAGUACCCUUGGGCGGCUGCGCAUUUGUUGCCAGGGGCGAGGGCGAAGCGUCAUACAAUGCAUUAUGGGACGCUGGAGGACUUGGAGCAUGCGCUAAAAGCUCAAACGAAGCCUGGUGGAAGGUCCCACGAGUGGAGAUACAGAAGAGACCCGCCUACCGGAGGCCUAGCUUCGCCCAUAGCCUGACGUCAUCUGGCACGUUCCGGGACUGGGCCAACUGGGACCCCACCGGGGACUCCAUCCCGGGCACGGGGCGCGGGUAACGAAUCAACUUGCACUGCAGCUCUGACUGGCGUCCUUAUCUAUGUGACAACACGUAAAGCAGCUCCUUGAUCAGACCUGCAAUUUUUGAAUGAUGAAGCAGAAUUUUAGAUAAUUAUGCCAGUUCAGUUGCAGCAUGGGAGCCUGGUGCAAGAGUUGAAAGGAAAGAACAAAGGUCUCAGCUUGGUUGCCACUUCUACUAGGAAGGCUGCCCUGGCCUCGCCUACGUUUCAGCUUCGCCUGUCGCCCCACUUCUAGCUGCCUCCCCCACGGCCCCAUACCCUUACUCUUCCAACAGCACUCAACAUUGUUUAUGGCUCUCUCUCCCCACCUAAGCUGUGUUUGAUUUGCCUCUACCCUAGAGCUCAGCCCAGGCAGAGCAGAGAAAGUGCAAAUGAAUAAACAAAGUGAAUAAAGCUGGA